rnacentral:rRNA from 1 species
UACGGAGGGGGCUAGCGUUGUUCGGAAUUACUGGGCGUAAAGCGCGCGUAGGCGGCUUUGUAAGUUAGAGGUGAAAGCCCGGAGCUCAACUCCGGAACUGCCUUUAAGACUGCAUCGCUAGAAUUGUGGAGAGGUGAGUGGAAUUCCGAGUGUAGAGGUGAAAUUCGUAGAUAUUCGGAAGAACACCAGUGGCGAAGGCGACUCACUGGACACAUAUUGACGCUGAGGUGGCGAAAAGCGUGGGGAGCAAACAGG